rnacentral:rRNA from 1 species
UACGUAGGGUGCAGGCGUUAAUCGGAAUUACUGGGCGUAAAGCGUGCGCAGGCGGUUUGUUAAGACAGAUGUGAAAUCCCCGGGCUUAACCUGGGAACUGCGUUUGUAACUGGCAAGCUAGAGUGUGGCAGAGGGGGGUGGAAUUCCAAGUGUAGCAGUGAAAUGCGUAGAUAUUUGGAGGAACACCAAUGGCGAAGGCAGCCCCCUGGGUUAACACUGACGCUCAUGCACGAAAGCGUGGAGAGCAAACAGG